UUAAAGGGAGGUGUUGGAAUGACCC
rnacentral:piRNA from 1 species